rnacentral:lncRNA from 10 species
UGGCCAAUUGAAAUUAUCAAAAGCAAAGGAGGAAUGCGCCAGUUCUUAUUAAGAAAAUUAAAAACAAAGCAUCUUUCUCAUUCUGCCUUUACAUCUAUUUAUAUUAUGUUAUACACUAUCUCCACUGCAAACAUAAAUUUUCAAAUAAUAAUAAUAUAAAGGUUGGAUGACUGUCUAUUUUACUAUCAAUUGAUCCUGAAAAACAACUUUAAUCGGGGUUAUACUGUGUUAAGGGUCCUCAGAGCUGCAUGAGUCUUACCUGUAAAGAGGACCCAGAGGCUCACAACAUGAAAUGACUCUGGGAUGUGUAAAAAGCAUUGAUCUACAAGAGACAUUGAAAUCAUUUAGUAUAAAACCUUCACUUUAUGGAUAAAGAACAGUAGGAUGGAGGUUGCAGUGAGCCAAGAUCACUACCCAAGACGGGAAUGAAUCAUCUACUCUGCAGUGGUAAUGAACAGAGAGGUUCAUUUUCAGAUUGGCUUAUUUUAUAUG